GGACUCAUAGUGUAGCCUGGAUAUCACUGGGGCUUGCGGAGCCUCAAACCCGUGUUCGAAUCGCGGUGGGUCCG
rnacentral:tRNA from 2 species